rnacentral:rRNA from 1 species
AUUGAACGCUGGCGGCAGGCCUAACACAUGCAAGUCGAACGAGUGGCGGACGGGUGAGUAAUGUCUGGGAAACUGCCUGAUGGAGGGGGCUAACUACUGGAAACGGUAGCUAAUACCGCAUACCAUCGGAUGUGCCCAGAUUGGCUUAGCUAGUAGGUGGGGUAAAGGCUCACCUAGGCGACGAUUCCUAGCUGGUCUGAGAGGAUGACCAGCCACACUGGAACUGAGACACGGGCCAGACUCCUACGGGAGGCAGCAGAGGGGAAUAUUGCACAAGGGGCGCAAGCCUGAUGCAGCCAUGCCGCGUGUAUGAAGAAGGCCUUCGGGUGGUAAAGUACUUUCAGCGGGGAGGCGUUACCCGCAGAAGAAGCACCGGCUAACUCCGUGCCAGCAGCCGCGGUAAUAC